CGGGGCUGAUGGCGGCCCCGCGGCUGAGGCGAGCGCUGGCCGGGGAAAUCGCUUCCGUCUGCUUACCCUGCUCCAUUGCGGUUCUCUCCACUAAGACGAGCAGCAAAAACAGGGAGCUGCAAUGGGUGUGAUCUCUGCACUGGCUCCCCUCCCUGUCCCACUGCUGCUUGCUGGUGGUUGGAACAGGUGUGCUGGGUACCUGACUGGGAGUGCACACAGCAGGAAGAAGGAAAUGGAAAGCAGCUGAUGCUGGCUGGAGAGAGAAGGUGUGUGCAAGAGAGAGAGUUUAAACCAGCUGCUGGAAGGAAAUCCAAAGGCAGACACAUUUCCUGGAUGAGGCAGGGCUGUGGAUCAGAGGGCAAAGAAAGUCUCCAGUGAUUGCAAGUCCUUCCUCAAAAGUUACCUUUUGCUAGAGAAUGUUUUGCUGUAUCACUCUCUAUCUUGACUUUUUCUUGGGUUUUUAAUUGCCCCCACAAAAAUCUAAAUGAAGAAAUCACAGCCCAGAGGGUUGGAUAUGUAACUACUUGUGCCAUCACACAUGACCUGACUCCUAAGAGCCUGUCUGGGGACAGUAGUAUUUCUUAUAUGAACUAGGCUGAAAGUUCCAUUUCUAUCCUCACCUUGUUCUCAGUGGGCCUUCAGGAGCAGAGGGGACCUAUAAUGCAGCAGUUGCUCCCUCCAUCUGUGGUGCACAAAACAGUGAGCAAAACCCCACCAAAGCAAUAUAUGGAGAAGAAAUCAAAUCCAGAGAAAAGAAAACGAAAUGAGGGCAAGACUGUUGCAAAGAGCUAGUGAAGAGCCAAAGUAUGGAGUCCACAUAACUCCAGAAAACCUUCAUGGCUAGGAAGACAGGCUGUGGCAGCAACGGUAUAUUCCAUCCAUAUGAACACCAAUGCUGGAAAGAUAAACAGGACAAAUGGUAUCUUUCACAGAUUUGAAGUAAAAGCUUGUCUUUGGUGGCAGUCCUAAAGAGCCAGCCUGACCUCCAAAGCAAAGCCGUUCUAACAGCAUGAAUCAUUCCCAUACCAGCUGUCCAGGCUGCAAACACUACACAGAUGACCCCUCCUGUAACAACAGAGCCUGUAUGCAGCAGACCAAAAAUCACCGACAUUUCACCCUACAUUCCUCAAGAAACACUCAUUCUCAAAGAGUCUGUGAAACCUCCUGGCACAGUCCUGGGUAGGGGGAACCAAAAGCUUCAGCUUGGCUUGUAGCCGAAUGGCCUGGAUUGCUGUCCACGUGUUCAAGCCCAGGGCCUGCUUACCUUGUCUUGUGUGUCUUGCUCACAACAAUGCAGGGUGAAGGCAAAGCAAAUGCAAAGUGAUAUGAUGAGAGACUUGCAGUUCUCACUCCAUGGACAUAAAGGCAAGCCGUGGAAGCAGGACCAGGCAGGAUGGAGCACAGCAGAGCAGGAUCCCUUUCUUCUGAGAAUUGGACUGAUGAUUCACUUCUCAGCAGUGAUAAAAUUAGCUUGGUUGGUCAUACAUGUGUAUUUGCAGUACCAAAUAUUGUGAGGCCAGGAAGACUUACUGUUGUCAGUUUGACUUUUUCAGCCUGAACAUACUUGAUUGCUAUUUCAAUCUCCUGCUGUAAUCAGAUUGCAAAUAAAUCUAAGUAUAAAAUCAGA